rnacentral:lncRNA from 1 species
AUGAACCAAUUGAGAAGAAUUAAUGUUCAUAAUGGAACAUGCGGCACAUCAACCGAGCGCAUAAAUCAGAUUGGACAAGCAACUAGAGUGGACACCGCACGGGUAGAUGCAUUUACUGAGCAAAGUAAUUCAAUUUCACAGUUGAACAGAUCAAGCAAGCAGAGAUCAAGCGAUCAGAUUGGCCGAGGAAGGUGCAUAAACGUAUCGACCGAUUUGAUGAACCAAGUAGGUGACCGCUCGUCGCAUCAAACCGAUGGGCUUAAAAACAGAAUUCAUAGCGUCGAUAACUUAGAUAGGAAUGAUCUCUCGUUUUGGUCCACGUUGGAUUUCCGGGACAGACUAGAUGGUGCCUGGGCUUCUCAAAAACAUUUUGAAGUGCAAAGUUUGCAGAGAAACAAGAUUGGAGAUCGAGUUGGUAGAGUUACGAGUGAAGAAAGUAGGCUCCGAGGACUGCCGGAAAAAGUGAGCUUGCGGAGAAUUCGGUCACAGGGUCAAGCUGAUUGGUUAAAUGAAAGACUAGAUAGAGUAAAUAGGUGGAAGGUGGAGUCCGAAAUUCCCUCUGAUAAUCAGAGGAAACUAACCAAAGAGUGCACGAAUCAUAGUGAUAGAUUAGGAGAUAAUGGCGAAAAAAAUUCUCAAACAAGUAGAAAGGAUACAGGUAAAAGGAAACAUCGACAUCGGAGGAAAACUAAGCGAAAAGAUAAAGCAGAAGAUCGCCAAGAAGAAGGCAUGAAGAGGGAUUUUAAAGAAGAGCAGGCUCGGUUCCGAGAGUUUCUCGAAAAUCAGACUCGAAAAACAGGCCUAGCCGCGAUUAAGGAUAAAUUUUCUAGCUUGCCAUCAAAUUUUUCCUCUCGGAGGAACCAUUACAAAGUUGCAGAUAGUGAUUUUGACGAUUCAAAAGAAAAUAUGAACGAAUCGAAACAUAUCAAGCCAAGAAAUAAAAUUGACUGUCACAGAUCCACCAGACACACCACUGACUUAAUUAACGAAAGGAGACUCGAUCUAAGGAUGUCCAAAAGCUUCACUGGUGGAAAAUCCUCAUUGCCAAAUGCUCAAAAUUUUGAUAUGUCCGACGAUCUAGACGAUAUACGACUCAGUUGUUUGACAAAACCGCAGAAAGGUACGAAAGAUAUUCCAAUGCCUGAUUUCAGAAAUUUUGGGAGGACGAAUAAUGGGUCGAGCGCUGGGGAAGCAUCAUGGCACUCACAGAAUUCUGAGCAUCGUAAACACUCUCCAUUCAUCGAUGGAUCUGAACGGACUUUUAAGGUAAAAAGGAUAUCGAGUAAUUCAGAGGGACCGCACAUCGGUCCUCGAUUGUCUCGAUCACGGGAUUCUAUCUUGAGCGAAGACAAAGUAGACCUACCGUCCGAGCUGAGACGAAAGACAAAGACUCGUGUUUCAGAUGUUGAAUACUCCAGACGGAAUAAGGCACAGAACGGUCCGUCUGGAAUGUCGGAGGGCAACAGACUCUCGAGAUCAAGAGACUCGAUUUAUGUGACACCAAGAAUGAUCCGCCUCCAAAAACAACCACGAGCAACAAAGGUAAAGCUCGAAGGAGCUCGUAUGAUAGUUCAACUCUUCCACAGUCAGGAUUGA